rnacentral:rRNA from 1 species
UACGAGGGGGGCGAGCGUUGUUCGGAAUUAUUGGGCGUAAAGGGUGCGUAGGCGGCCUGACAAGUCUGAUGUGAAAUCCCUGGGCUCAACCCAGGGCCUGCAUCGGAAACUGUCGGGCUUGAGUAUGGGAGAGGUGAGUGGAAUUUCCGGUGUAGCGGUGAAAUGCGUAGAUAUCGGAAGGAACGCCCAUGGCGAAAGCGAGGUCCUGGACGUCUACUGACGCUGAGACGCGAAAGCUAGGGUAGCGAACGGG